UCGAGAAUCUUCGGCAAUGGGCGCAAGCCUGACCGAGCGACGCCGCGUGCGGGAUGAAGGCCCUCGGGUUGUAAACCGCUGUCGUAGGGGAGGAAAUUGAUUGGGGUUCUCCCCAGUCAUUGACCUAUCCUAGGAGGAAGUCCGGGCUAAGUUCGUGCCAGCAGCCGCGGUAAGACGAACCGGACAAACGUUAUUCGGAAUUACUGGGCUUAAAGGGUACGUAGGCGGUCCGUUAAGUGGGGUGUGAAAUCCCUCGGCUCAACCGAGGAACUGCGCCCCAUACUGGCGGACUCGAGGGAGACAGAGGUGAGUGGAACUGAUGGUGGAGCGGUGAAAUGCGUUGAUAUCAUCAGGAACACCAGUGGCGAAAGCGGCUCACUGGGUCUCUUCUGACGCUGAGGUACGAAAGCUAGGGUAGCGAACGGGAUUAGAUACCCCCGUAGUCC
rnacentral:rRNA from 1 species